GACGAAGGAUCCAAGCGUUAUCCGGAUUCAUUGGGAUUAAAGGGUGCGUAGGCGGGUUUGUAAGUCAGUGGUGAAAUCCUAUCGCUUAACGAUGGAACUGCCAUUGAUACUGCGGACCUAGAAUAUAGAUGAUGUUGGCGGAAUAUGACAUGUAGCGGUGAAAUGCAUAGAUAUGUCAUAGAACACCGAUUGCGAAGGCAGCUGACAAAACUAUUAUUGACGCUGAUGCACGAAAGUGCGGGGAUCAAACAGG
rnacentral:rRNA from 1 species